rnacentral:rRNA from 1 species
UACGAAGGGUGCAAGCGUUAUUCGGAAUUAUUGGGCGUAAAGGGCGCGUAGGCGGCCCGGUAAGUCAAAGGUGAAAUCCCUCGGCUCAACUGAGGAACUGCCUUUGAAACUGUCGGGCUUGAGGCCGGGAGGGGGUAGCGGAAUUCCCAGUGUAGCGGUGAAAUGCGUAGAGAUCCGGAGGAACACCAGAGGCGAAGGCGGCCUACUGGGCUGCACCUGACGCUGAGCCGCGAAAGCCAGGGGAGCGAACGGG